GGCGAGAGAGAAAUUGAGCUGGAUGUAGAUGAAGUAAAUGGCCGCGAGGAUGGAGGAGGCGAUCAGGAGGGCGGAUCGGGGAAGAGAGAUGAAGAGGAGGGAGGAGAGGAGGAAAAAGAGGGCGGCGAGGGGGAGGAGGGUGAGGAGGAGGCGGCAGAGGGAGGCGGGUAGGGAUCGGAGAGCGGGGAGGAGGUGGACGGGACGACCGAAGAAGCCUUGGUUGACGCUGUGGGUAACGGUUGUGGCGGCGCAGGCGACGAGGGC
rnacentral:misc_RNA from 1 species